rnacentral:rRNA from 1 species
AAGGUGGCCUGUGAGGGUUGCUGGAGGUAUCAGAAGUGCGAAUGCUGACAUAAGUAACGAUAAAGCGGGUGAAAAGCCCGCUCGCCGGAAGACCAAGGGUUCCUGUCCAACGUUAAUCGGGGCAGGGUGAGUCGACCCCUAAGGCGAGGCCGAAAGGCGUAGUCGAUGGGAAACGGGUUAAUAUUCCCGUACUUGGUGUUACUGCGAAGGGGGGACGGAGAAGGCUAUGUUGGCCGGGCGACGGUUGUCCCGGUUUAAGCGUGUAGGUGUGUGUUCCAGGUAAAUCCGGUUCACUUUAACACUGAGGCGUGAUGACGAGGCACUACGGUGCUGAAGCAACAAAUGCCCUGCUUCCAGGAAAAGCCUCUAAGCAUCAGGUAACACGAAAUCGUACCCCAAACCGACACAGGUGGUCAGGUAGAGAAUACCAAGGCGCUUGAGAGAACUCGGGUGAAGGAACUAGGCAAAAUGGUGCCGUAACUUCGGGAGAAGGCACGCUGACACGUAGGUGAAGUGAUUUACUCACGGAGCUGAAGUCAGUCGAAGAUACCAGCUGGCUGCAACUGUUUAUUAAAAACACAGCACUGUGCAAACACGAAAGUGGACGUAUACGGUGUGACGCCUGCCCGGUGCCGGAAGGUUAAUUGAUGGGGUCAGCGCAAGCGAAGCUCCUGAUCGAAGCCCCGGUAAACGGCGGCCGUAACUAUAACGGUCCUAAGGUAGCGAAAUUCCUUGUCGGGUAAGUUCCGACCUGCACGAAUGGCGUAAUGAUGGCCAGGCUGUCUCCACCCGAGACUCAGUGAAAUUGAACUCGCUGUGAAGAUGCAGUGUACCCGCGGCAAGACGGAAAGACCCCGUGAACCUUUACUAUAGCUUGACACUGAACAUUGAGCCUUGAUGUGUAGGAUAGGUGGGAGGCUUUGAAGCGUGGACGCCAGUCUGCGUGGAGCCGACCUUGAAAUACCACCCUUUAAUGUUUGAUGUUCUAACGUGGACCCGUAAUCCGGGUUGCGGACAGUGUCUGGUGGGUAGUUUGACUGGGGCGGUCUCCUCCUAAAGAGUAACGGAGGAGCACGAAGGUUGGCUAAUCCUGGUCGGACAUCAGGAGGUUAGUGCAAUGGCAUAAGCCAGCUUGACUGCGAGCGUGACGGCGCGAGCAGGUGCGAAAGCAGGUCAUAGUGAUCCGGUGGUUCUGAAUGGAAGGGCCAUCGCUCAACGGAUAAAAGGUACUCCGGGGAUAACAGGCUGAUACCGCCCAAGAGUUCAUAUCGACGGCGGUGUUUGGCACCUCGAUGUCGGCUCAUCACAUCCUGGGGCUGAAGUAGGUCCCAAGGGUAUGGCUGUUCGCCAUUUAAAGUGGUACGCGAGCUGGGUUUAGAACGUCGUGAGACAGUUCGGUCCCUAUCUGCCGUGGGCGCUGGAGAACUGAGGGGGGCUGCUCCUAGUACGAGAGGACCGGAGUGGACGCAUCACUGGUGUUCGGGUUGUCAUGCCAAUGGCACUGCCCGGUAGCUAAAUGCGGAAGAGAUAAGUGCUGAAAGCAUCUAAGCACGAAACUUGCCCCGAGAUGAGUUCU